UCAUCUUCUUUUUUGAAGUAACGUCGAAUCUGUUUUUAUAAGAUAAUUUUAAGGUUGAUGAGAGGCAAAGUUCUAAAGCGUGUUUUAACUGUUUUUGAUCUUCGUGAUCCAUGAAACAUUUUUUUUUAUUUUUAAAAUCAUAAAGCAAAAUUAGAGUUAAUUAGACUAAUUAUAUAUAUAGAUAUAGAGUUGAAAGCACUUAGUUAAAGCGAUGAAAAUGAACCACGACCACGGGAAAUAGUCGAACUUGGUUAACAUCUUUCUUUGUCAUCGUCAAGGAAUUAAAUUCAUCACUUCAAGGAUAAAAAAAUAGCUAGAUUUGCCUGAAAAGAUCCAAUCCUUCACAAUAAAACUAUAGUUAACUAUAGCUAUCGGUGGCGUGGCCAGCACAACUACCAACCGCCUUUACUUUUCCCCAACUAAUGACUACAUAAUAUAUGCCAGGAACCCAUUAAAUUAGAGCUAGUGGACUCAGAGGCGCCCUAAAGAUCCCUAAAGUAAAAAUCCCAGUCUUCAUCAGAAUUCGAGACUGGGAGCCCUGGUUGGGAAGCCAAUUAUUUUUGCUUUAAAUAAAUGGUUACUUAUAAUUUAAAGAUAAAAUAAAGGGAGGAUAUAAUAGAAUAUACUUAAUAUUUUAUGUUAUUGUUUUUUUGUAUUUUUUUAGAUUCCCCCAAAAAAGCAAAAAUGUCCACCCCCAUGACAGUCUCCCCUGUAUAUAUAGCUAUGAAUGUAUUGGAAAACACAGAUUAUCAAAACCAAAAUGGGAUUGCAUCACCAUUUGCUGGAUCUGGUUUGAACCAGAUUACAGUUCAAGGUGGACCUUCUUUGAAAACUCUGUCAGGCAAGAACUCUAUUGAUGAUCAAACUGAACGUGUUCUAGACAGAAUGGAAAAAAAGAUUGAUAAACUUUUCUUUCUAUUGGAAACCGUCAGGGAGGAUUUGUCUGCAGUGCAGGCGCAACUACAAAUGAAAGACAUAUGGAAGAGAUGCAAAGUAAUUCUAUCAAAAUUAAAUAUGCAGCACUUUUUCCAGUGGCUGAUAAUACAAAAUCACUUCUAGAGAUAGAAGUGAAGCUUAAAGAUGAAGAGUUUAGAAAUUUUUUGAAUCAGACUUUUUUCCACUUGGGUGGUCUAUCUGGUGAGGAUAGCAUCAGAAGAAUGCUUAAAUAUUUAAUGACGGAUACCCUGGCCAUGGAGUAUAAUCUGACUGGAUAUGGCUCAAAACAAUUAAGGAAACUAUGCUAGACUCUAUCCAAUUUAAGUGAGUUACCCAACUCUGUCAAAAAAAGAAGCGGAGAAGGUAAUUGGAACUUGGCUGUUAAAUGCCCAUGACCGUAAUGGAGGUCGCGAAAAAAGAAGGAUAUAACAAGUAUUUCAAUGAGUUCAACAAUGUUAGACAAAGACGAACAAUGUUAAUAGGCUAGAGCAGCUAAUUGAAAAAAAUAAAUUUUGUGGGGGGGUUAUUAUUUUUUUUUUAAUUUACAUUACUUCUGCAAUUAACUGUAUAUCUGGUGUUGGCCAUACAGAGUUUUUUUUGGUUCUCCAUAAAAUCUAAGCUUGUUAGCCGUUACUUUCUUUUAAAAAGGUAUAUAUAUAUAUUUAUUUAUUAUGGCUUAAUAAGUAUUUGCUUUAUUAUAUUUUGCAAUGCUAGUGUUGGUAUUUUUCUUAAGUUAUGUUUCUCACUUUGUAAAUUCAAUGUUUUAAUGUAUGGUUUUAGAAUUUAGGAAUGUAUAUGGCUGACAUUCCAUAAACUUAAUACUGGUACCGUACCUCGUUUUAUUAUUUAUUUUGGUAAUUUCUGUGUAUAGCAUAUUCUAAGAUUCUCAAAUUUUUAAAAAUUAUUUAAUGAUUGUCAGAACUCGUUUGCUUUUAAAUUUAUGACAUCUAUCAGGCCAGAUUGGUGGGGAUUAUUCUUAACUUCAUGAAUAUCAUCUCAUAUGCUUCUCUGUUGGCUAUACAAGCUUCUUGGUACAUUAAAAAAUCUAAAAUUAUUACUCAUUUUAUUUAGAAUAUAUUACGAUUGUAUUUAUAUAUAUUUUUUUUUUAAUUUGUAUAUGUAAGCACUGGUAUUUAGGAAAAAUUUUUGUUUCUAAUCUAUUUCAUUUUAAGAGAGUUUUUUGUUAUUACAAUUAAUACAUAAAUAUUAAUGGGUUUACUUACUUAAGUGUACAUAUUGAUACAUUCCACAAACUCUUUUGUCCUGUUUUUGUGUAAACAAAUAUGAAAUCAAUCUUUUUAAAAAAUGUAUAUAUAUUUUGUAUGGUGUAAUAAGAACUCUCUUUUUUUUUAAACCAUUGGUACUUUUAUAAAAUUAUGUUAUGUCAUUUAUUUUAUUUUAUGCAAUUAAUUUAUUUGAACAAUGAAUGUUGAAAUGUAUGGUUUCAAAAUUUUAGUUUAUAUUGCUUAUAUUCCAUAUACUUAAUGCUGGUAUCUAUGGUGCCAUACAGGAUGAAACAGGGUGGAGGACACGCACUAACCAUGAGUUAUAUCAAUUAUAUGAAGACCCACCAAUAGUGAACGAAAUAAAAAAGAACAGACUACGUUGGGCAGGUCACCUUGAAAGAAUGUCAGACAACAGAGGGGCGAAAAUCGUAUACAGGCAAAAACCAAAAGGCAGGCGACCCAAAGGCAGACCCCGAAUGCGAUGGAUAGAUGACGUGGAAGCAGAUCUGAAGCAGCUUGGGGUUAGGGCGUGGAGACGAAAGGCCCAGGAGAGAUCUGAAUGGAAGGAUGUGUUAAAGCAGGCCAGAGCCCUCCAUGGGCUGUAGCGCCACUGGGAUGGAUGGAUGAAUGCUGGUAACUUGUUUAGAUUUGAUUAAUAAUCUUAGAUGGACAAUUUUUUAUUCAAAUAAUUUCCAUGAUUGUCAGAACAGUUUGCUUUUCAACUUAAUUUACAUACAGUAGGCUUAUACUUUGUUUAGACAAUUCUCAGUUGCAAUAUAAUUGCAUAGGUUUCUAUGUAAGCUCUUCAAGCUUUUGUACAAGCUUUUGUACAUAAUACAAUUAAAUAAGGGUGGUAUAUUUUAUGAUACAAUAAAUACUUACUUUAUAAAUAAAAGCACCCAUAUUUCUAACUUAUUUCAUUUUAAGCUAUUUGUUAUUACAACUUAUAUCCAAGUGUAUAAAUUUUCAUAUUUCACUGUACAUAUUGUUUAACAUUCCAUCUACUCAAUAUUUUUUUUUGUUACUUUAAUUUUCUUUGUACAUACGUACAAAGCUAAGGUAGUCUUUUUUUGCUUUUGUUUUCAUGAUUUUCAGAACUGUUUGCUUUGAAAUGUAAUUACAUACAGCAGACUUAUACUUUGUGUAGAUAAUUCUGAAAAAUGUUCUGUAAACAUUUUAAUGUUAUCAUUCACAACUACUCUUUUUUAUAGACAAUGUAUUUUCCAUAAUAUACUAUAUUUCCAUAAUAUUGUUGAACCGAGACCGAUAGUUACAGAAGGCCUGAACACUUACUUGCGACAUUGCAACCCAUAGGUAGUUUAGACCAAUAGCUCAUUACCAUGUUACAGGUUGUGACGUCAGACCUGUGAUGUGGCAGCAUGUUAUUAGACUGGACUGCCCACAGGUAGUGACAUCACUAGUCAGUGUUGAUGCCUUCUCUUGGUUGAAUCCAUUAUAACCGAUAAAAUUUUGCUAUUGGUUUUACCUUUUCAUAAAUCUUUUCUUUUUAGUGUACCAUUAAAGGUACCGGUAGAUAAUUUCUUCUGGUAUUUUUAUUUGUUAUAUUUAAUAGGUUCUGACAUUAAUAUUUUAUGAUGCAAUAAACGAUGAAUUUCAACUAGUAAAUUUA